rnacentral:rRNA from 1 species
GCUGGCGGCAUGCCUAACACAUGCAAGUCGAACGGAAACGAUGGGAGCUUGCUCCCAGGCGUCGAGUGGCGGACGGGUGAGUAAUACUUGGGAAUCUGCCCAGUAGUGGGGGACAACAUUCGGAAACGGAUGCUAAUACCGCAUACGCACUACGGUGGAAAGUGGGGGAUCUUCGGACCUCACGCUAUUGGAUGAGCCCAAGUCGGAUUAGCUUGUUGGUGAGGUAAUGGCUCACCAAGGCGACGAUCCGUAGCUGGUCUGAGAGGACGAUCAGCCACGCUGGGACUGAGACACGGCCCAGACUCCUACGGGAGGCAGCAGUGGGGAAUAUUGGACAAUGGGCGCAAGCCUGAUCCAGCAAUGCCGCGUGUGUGAAGAAGGCCUGCGGGUUGUAAAGCACUUUCAGUAGAGAAGAAAAGCCUAGGGUUAAUACCCCUGAGUCUUGACGUAACCUACAGAAGAAGCACCGGCUAACUCCGUGCCAGCAGCCGCGGUAAUACAGAGGUGGCGAGCGUUGUUCGGAUUUACUGGGCGUAAAGGGUGCGUAGGCGGUAUGGUGUGUCGGAUGUGAAAUCUCACCGUCCAACGGUGAAACUGCAUUCGAAACUGCCGUACUAGAGUACAGGAGGGGGAGAGCGGAAUUCUUGGUGUAGCGGUGAAAUGCGUAGAUAUCAAGAAGAAC